CACCAGGACUGAUCCAGAGUCCUCACCAUGGACUUUAGGCUAAACUGGUUUUUCUUUCUACUAACUUUACAAGGUGUUGACAGUGAGGUUCAGCUGGUGGAGACAGGGGGAGAUGUGAAGCAGCCUGGGGGUUCUCUUCGCCUCACUUGUACAGUUUCUGGAUUUACCUUAAGCAGCUACUACAUGAAUUGGAUACGACAGGCUCCAGGCAAGGGGCUGGAGUGGGUUGGUUUCAUAAGAAAUCCUGCUAAUGGUCUUACUGCAGAAUAUGCUGAUUCUGUGAAAGGCCGAUUCACCAUUUCCAGAGAUGAUGCCAGUAAUAUGGUAUACUUGCAAAUGAACACCUUGAAAACUGAGGACACAGCCAUGUAUUAUUGUGCAAGAGACACAAUGAGAGGAAGAAAAUGUUCACCCAUACACAAAGUUCUUAAAGAACACGUCCUAGGGGAAAUGUGGGGCCAGGAAAUCAUUUUGAUGACAGAUGGAGAGCUAGGAUAA